rnacentral:rRNA from 1 species
AACGAACGCUGGCGGCAGGCUUAACACAUGCAAGUCGAACGAAUCGCAAGAUGAGUGGCAGACGGGUGAGUAACGCGUGGGAACAUACCGUUUUCUACGGAAUAGACCUGGGAAACUGGAAUUAAUACCGUAUACGCCCUACGGGGGAAGGAUUUAUCGGGGAAGGAUUGUUACGCGUUGGAUUAGCUGGUUGGUGGGGUAAAGGCCUACCAAGGCGACGAUCCAUAGCUGGUCUGAGAGGAUGAUCAGCCACAUUGGGACUGAGACACGGCCCAAACUCCUACGGGAGGCAGCAGUGGGGAAUAUUGGACAAUGGGCGCAAGCCUGAUCCAGCCAUGCCGCGUGAGGGAUGAAGGCCUUAGGGUUGUAAAGCUCUUUCACCGAGGAAGAUAAUGACGGUAGUCGGAGAAGAAGCCCCGGCUAACUUCGUGCCAGCCGCCGCGGUAAGAC